GAGUUUGAUCGUGGCUCAGAUUGAACGCUGGCGGCAUGCCUUACGCAUGCAAGUCGAACGGCAGCACGGGAGCUUGCUCCUGGUGGCGAGUGGCGAACGGGUGAGUAAUGCAUCGGAACGUAUCCUGGAGUGGGGGAUAACGUAGCGAAAGUUACGCUAAUACCGCAUAUUCUGUGAGCAGGAAAGCGGGGGACCUUCGGGCCUCGCGCUCUUGGAGCGGCCGAUGUCGGAUUAGCUAGUUGGUGAGGUAAAGGCUCACCAAGGCGACGAUCCGUAGCAGGUCUGAGAGGAUGAUCUGCCACACUGGAACUGAGACACGGUCCAGACUCCUACGGGAGGCAGCAGUGGGGAAUUUUGGACAAUGGGGGCAACCCUGAUCCAGCCAUGCCGCGUGAGUGAAGAAGGCCUCGGUUGUAAG
rnacentral:rRNA from 1 species